UACGUAGGGUGCAAGCGUUGUCCGGAAUUAUUGGGCGUAAAGAGCUCGUAGGCGGUUCCGUAAGUCGGGUGUGAAAAAUCUGGGCUCAACCCAGUGGAGCACCCGAUACUGCGGUGACUCGAGUCCGGUGGGGGAGUGUGGAAUUCCUGGUGUAGCGGUGAAAUGCGCAGAUAUCAGGAGGAACACCGACGGCGAAGGCGGCUCUCUGGGCCUUACCUGACGCUGAGGAGCGAAAGCGUGGGUAGCGAACAGG
rnacentral:rRNA from 1 species